GGCUGGUCCGAUGGUAGUGGGUUAUCAGAACUUAUUAGUGUCACUAAAAAGUUGGUAUACAACCCCCCACUGCUACAUUUGACUGGCUUUUU
rnacentral:Y_RNA from 1 species